rnacentral:lncRNA from 1 species
GUUCGGGUUAGGUUGAUAGGUGUUGAAAUUCGUUUUAUGUAGUAUAGUAUUUGUUUCAUAUUUGAUAGUGAUAGUGUAAACUUUUUAUUGACUUUAGAACUUUUGAAUUGCUUUUCAAAUCCCAGGAAACUGGUACGAACCCGAGGAUAAAAAUAUCUAAACGUCCCCGCCCGGUUACACGUUACAAAUGGUGGCUUAGCGGUGGGAUUUGUCUAGCAUUUCUCAAGCGUAUUUUGUACAUAUAAAUUGUAUUU